GAUGAACGCUAGCGGAACGCUUAACACAUGCAAGUCGAACGAGACCUCUACUUCGGUAGAGUGAGAGUGGCAAACGGGCGAGUAACGCGUAUCUAACCUGCCUGAGAGCUGGAAAUAACUGCAGAGAUGUAGCUAAUGUCCAAUACGCCCUUUCGAGGGGAAAGAUUUAUCGCUCACAGAGGGGGAUGCGUCCUAUCAGGUAGUUGGUGGGGUAAUUGCCUACCAAGCCGAUGACGGGUAGCCGGUCUGAGAGGAUGUCCGGCCGCAAUGGAACUGAGACACGGUCCAUACUCCUACGGGAGGCAGCAGUGGGGAAUCUUGCGCAAUGGGCGAAAGCCUGACGCAGCGAUUCCGCGUGGAGGAUGACACCUUAAGGGGCGUAAACUCCUUUUCUGGAGGAAGACGAAUGACGGUACUCCAGGAAUAAGGGACGGCUAACUACG
rnacentral:rRNA from 1 species